UUGUGUGCGGCCUAUUUAAUCACUAAUCUAAACUCCUAGUUUUUGAGAUAAAUAUUUUAAUUAAAAUACUUCUACUUGAAAAUCCUCUGUAUUUUGAUCACAAUAUAUGUAUACAUAUUUCAAGGAUUUGACUAUCAAUUAAAUAAUUUUAAAUCCGAACUUAAUAAGAUAUAUUAAAUGCACGUGUACAUUUAGAAGUGUUUUUUAUAUUUGGAGUGGGAUGAUAAGACAAUUGUAUCCCAAUUGUUCACCAAUACAAGAAAAUAAAACUAAUAUUUAAACGAUUAUUUUAAUUUGAAUAACUAAUUCAAACAACGGUCCAAAGAUCAAAAUUUCAAAGAAUAAAAGUACAACUAUGAGGGAUGAGAUUUAUAAAAUAUUGACAUUUUUGAUUAGCAUAAAGUAUGCUCAUGCGAUUCAUAUUAUGCAUAAUAUGAGGCACACUGAAUAAUUGUUAGAGUUAAAUUAAAAAUGAAAUAUCUUAUGGAACCAAAAAUAAAUCCAUAAUAAUGGUUAAGCACAGUUUAGUAUUGCUAAUUAAUAUUUGAAACACAGACAACAGGACUAGGAAGAGAAGUAGAGUAAGUAAAUAAAAACACUGAAAAUUAUGUU